AGUGAACGCUGGCGGUAGGCCUAACACAUGCAAGUCGAACGGAGUGGAGGACGGGUGAGGAAUACAUCGGAAUCUACUCUGUCGUGGGGGAUAACGUAGGGAAACUUACGCUAAUACCGCAUACCAUCAGAUGAGCCUAGGUCGGAUUAGCAAGUUGGUGGGGUAAAGGCCUACCAAGGCGACGAUCCGUAACUGGUCUGGGAGGAUGAUCAGUCACACUGGAACGGAGACACGGUCCAGACUCCUACGGGAGGCAGCAGUGGGGAAUAUUGGACAAUGGGCGAAGGCCUGACCCAGCCCUGCCGCGGGUGUGAAGAAGGUCUUCGGAUUUUAAAGCACUUUAAGUUGGGAGGCGUUACCAACAGAGUAAGCACCGGCUAACUUCGUGCCAGCAGCCGCGGUAAUAC
rnacentral:rRNA from 1 species